rnacentral:rRNA from 1 species
AUGGGGGCAACGACGCCGGUGCGGCUAGUGUCGCCUACCCGUCCCACUCCGACGCGGUGGUGCGGCGGCGCUGCUAGUCAGGGGGCUCUCCGUCCACCUCCCCAUCUCGGCUGGUGCCGAUCAUUUUCCCCUCCCCUGCGCUCCUUAGGCGUGCCCAAAGCAGCAGUGCAAGAUGCUCCAAUCGCUGGCGCCGAGCGCUGGAACCGGAGGGGAAAGGCUGCGACCGGCGUCCUGGGAUGCUGCAACGGCGCCCCGGCGAGCUGGAAAUCGACGACCACCUACGACGUGAACUGGCAUGGCGUGCUGCAACCGGCUGCAGAGAAGCUACAACCGCUGGUGUGGCGUGCUGCAACCUGCGAUAAAAAAUGCUACCAUGGGCACGUGGCAAGCGAGCUCGCUCCCAUGAUGCUGGAACCAGCAAAAAAAUUGUUGGAAGGCGGCCUUUCUAUCCCAGGUUGCAACGGAACUCGGCGAGCAAUGUGCUACAACCGGCAAUCCAAUUUGCUGGAACCAGCAAAAAAAUUGCUGGAACCGGACGUGGCUAAUCUGCACCCGAGCUCAUAUGCUCCCGCAUGA